AGUGAACGCUGGCGGUAGGCCUAACACAUGCAGGUCGAACGGCAGCACAGUAAGAGCUUGCUCUUACGGGUGGCGAGUGACGGACGGGUGAGGAAUACAUCGGAAUCUACUUUUUCGUGGGGGAUAACGUAGGGAAACUUACGCUAAUACCGCAUACGACCUACGGGUGAAAGCAGGGGAUCUUCGGACCUUGCGCGAUUGAAUGAGCCGAUGUCGGAUUAGCUAGUUGGCGGGGUAAAGGCCCACCAAGGCGACGAUCCGUAGCUGGUCUGAGAGGAUGAUCAGCCACACUGGAACUGAGACACGGUCCAGACUCCUACGGGAGGCAGCAGUGGGGAAUAUUGGACAAUGGGCGCAAGCCUGAUCCAGCCAUACCGCGUGGGUGAAGAAGGCCUUCGGGUUGUAAAGCCCUUUUGUUGGGAAAGAAAAGCAGCAGGUUAAUACCCCGCUGUUCUGACGGUACCCAAAGAAUAAGCACCGGCUAACUUCGUG
rnacentral:rRNA from 1 species